rnacentral:lncRNA from 1 species
UACAAUCUGGAGAUUAUCAGGUUUCGAAAGAAGGUGGUUCUCAAUCUUGUCUGACGUUUGUGGUGAAUUCCUAAGUGGUAUGAUUUUCACCAGCUUUGCACUUAAGAGUGUUCCAUUCUUUCUCUGCUAGCAGCUGCUGGGUCUUACAGAACCAUAGAUUCUUCUUUUCAUGGAGCGGCGUGGUCUGUCAAUUUUGUGAGGUUUUUUGGUCAAUGCUUCUAAUGAUUAUUGAUAUCAUCAAUUCAGUUUUCUUCCCUAAUCAGUAUGGUUUCAUUCUUCCUUAUCAACACUGCUUCAUUUGUGUGUAUUUUGUUGCCAUACAUGUUUUUUAAUAGUCCAGAUGUUUAUGUUCUUUGGUGAUCCAACUGUUGAGAUCUCCAUGGUUAUGGACAACACAUGAUAAGUGUAUUCAAGCUCAGUCGUGGAUCUUUUGAUGGGUCUUUUAAUGGUCCUGUAACACUGUUCUCUAGUUUUCGUGUUCUCGCUACUUACAUUCUCUGAUUUCAUUUUGCCUACCUGUUUAUUUAGUUUGGUUGGAUGAAUUUUUUUAGGCAACAUGGGUAGUAAGAGGAUAAGAUUUGGAAAUUUUGUAGUUUGGUUUCAGUGUGCAUCCCUGUGGACCAUGUUGGCCAUUUUGGUGCUUACACUGCAAUUUGGAUAUUGGAUUGACCAUUCCUCC